rnacentral:rRNA from 1 species
UACAGAGGGGGCAAGCGUUAUUCGGAAUUACUGGGCGUAAAGCGCACGUAGGCGGCUUUGUAAGUUAGAGGUGAAAGCCCAGGGCUUAACCCUGGAAUUGCCUUUAAGACUGCAUCGCUCGAAUUGUGGAGAGGUGAGUGGAAUUCCGAGUGUAGAGGUGAAAUUCGUAGAUAUUCGGAAGAACACCAGUGGCGAAGGCGACUCACUGGACACAUAUUGACGCUGAGGUGCGAAAGCGUGGGGAGCAAACAGG